rnacentral:lncRNA from 1 species
CUGUUCUUCUUGCCAGCUGCUGCUCCACCAAUGCUGGAGUGAAUGAAGUUUGGAUCUUUAAAUGGUAAUGGCUUGACGGCUGUUUCCACUGAUCCUGUGCUGGAGUCCGUAUUCAGAAAUUUAUUUUCAUUCACGACCUCUCCACCUGCACUCUGCGAGCCGCUCGACGCUGCCACUUUCUUUUUCUUGGCCGGACCGCUGCCGGUGCCCGGGCUUGCCGGGCGCUUCUUGCUACGGGAAGGAGCGCCGGCGGGAGAUGAGGUCGCCGCGGGAAUCAGGCUCGCCAUUUCCCCCCCCCCGGGCCGAGCACGGGGCAAGAACGGGAGCGCGCCGUCCCCUCCCCCUCAGUCGGCAGCGCCGCGCAGUCGCAAUGAAGCUGCUGUUGCUGGGCGUGCGCAGUCGCAGCGCACCCCCACCUCAGGCCGGCGUUGUGAGGGAGGCGGUUAGCGGGGGAGGGGCGGGAGGUCCCGGCUCUAACGGCCGCUACCGUGGGUGUUUGAGCCCCUGCGGUUCAGUGGCUGUGGGGGGAGGUUCGCAGCCCGCUGCUCCUCGCUCAGGCCCUACUGAGAGGCAGUGCUGUGGCAGAGCCCCUGCCGCCCCGGCGCUGCCUCAUCACCUGCAGGCGGGACUGUGUGUGAGGCUCCGUAUGCCGGCAAGGGUGCAGUCGGUGGUUUGGGAAGUGCCGUACAAUAAAAGGCCGAGCAAGGCCCGGAUGAAUGGAAGCUGUGAUGCUCGGGGCCAUGAUUUAGUCGUGGGUUGUUAGGUUAGUAUGGCUAGCUUGAGGUUGGACUCGAUCUUGAAGGUCUUUUCCAACCUGAGCAAUUCUAUGAUUCUGUAGUGUAGGGGACUGAGGAACUGUGUGUGUCUAAUGUGUAGGGUACAGCGCUAUCUCCACAAGCAGUCUGUGUCAUAAGGCUGCCCCAAACGAGGCAAGGUUAUGCAAAGCACUUUCAGGCCAAGAGAAGGGUUACCGAGUCUGGAAAAUAUGUCAUGUUUUUUUUUUUUUUCUAGUCGCCCUGACUUGUUCCCUUCAAUUCUGAAAUGAUUUGCUCCAAGAAACCUUCUGGUAAACACUGUUACUGUACACUGUAUAAUCUUUCAAUGCAAGUUGCAGAUAACUAUGGCUGUUGUUACGUUUUCCACUUUAUGACCACGGAUAACGGAUAGCGAAGGCCCCUCUGAGUAAUUCAUACCGCUACAAAUGCGGUUGCUUCCAAGCAGGCAGACAUACAGCACAACACCCUGUUGUGAUGUGGAGAGUGACUCAGUCCGGCAACUUUUCCUCUCCUUUGGAAUCAGGAGUGACUUUGCACUGGAGCAGCAUAUCAGGACAGAUGUGUGGAGCUUACUAGUGCUUUCCCAAGGGCUCUGGGAGCCCUCUUAUUUCCUACGCCGUUUCAUACUCUACCUCAGAGAACUGGUCGGUGGCAGUAGGUUGCAAACAGCUCUCUAGCUGCUUGACAGCUGAUGAAGUGAUUUUUAGCUUUUUAUGUAUUCAUGCACCUCUAUUCAAAAGGGAGUGUUCAACUUAGAACCUUUAUUUAUUUAUUUAGCUAUCUGUGCAACACCUGACCUUUAGGUUUGUAGUGGCAGCUGUGUGAGAUCCUGACCGAGUGUGUGCCCCCUGGAGAGGCAGAGGUCCAAGAUGUUAACACUCAAGCAUAAAAAUUAGGUCAUGUUUAUAGACGGUGCUGUAAUGAGCGUUGAGCUUGGUCACAGUAGGGGUGCCAGGCCACGCUGUGUAAAACAAAAGCUAUGGAGGUGGCCUGAGAGAGUUGAAGACAAAAGCCUGGGCUUUCAGGCUGCUUUCCAGGCACCUGUGUAUACAACAGAAAAGCAGGACAAGAUUUGCUUUCCAGGAGCAUAAUCAAGGCUGCAUACAACCUCCAAGACCCACCUUAUUCCCAUGUGUAGUUUCUGUCUUUCUGUCUGAGGCUGUCAGCAGUAUUGCAGACUGACAGACGUUGUUACUUUUGUCUUUAUUGUUAAUGAUUAUUCGAGGCUGAUGUGUGCUACAUGGUUUGCAUUUCUUCCUUCUUCAAAUAGCAGACCUUGUCACGUGAUGGUGACCCGCGUUUAAAGUUAGCAGGGGCACUGGGAAUUGCAAGGGAGUUUGUAUCCCCUGACAAAUCCAAAUCUGCUCAGCCGUGUGCUCAGUGUUGGUCUUGUCUUAGUCAGCCUUAUUUUUGAUUCCCAGGGCUGAGUCCCUUCUUUUUCCCAUGCGUGUGCUGUGUACUCAGCCCCCAGGCAAGCACUUUUUAAAAGAAAGCAUCAUAGGAAUGCUUCUACAGAGAGGAGCAUCUUUAAUGCUGCCGUAGAGUGGUUGCCGCAUGUGAAUCGUGCAGAGAACUAAUGUGCUGCAUCACUGGAAGUUUUUAAAUAGUAUGCAGUCAAGCACUUUCUUAUCUGUGCCCAUUUUUAUCAAUCAAUUUCCUAACAACAAAAUUAGAAGGCCCAUGGGAACUGCAGCAGUACUGAGUGCAGUGCGAUUUUACAAGGUACUAAAGGCUGUAAAAUCCCAGCAGGCCCAUAGCUCAUUGGAAGAUAGCAGUAAUGGCAGUGUCAUUGUUGAGAAUGUUCGCAGGGGAUGAGUGGUGGAAGCAGGGCUCUGACAUGGUGAGGCUCUCUCCUGCCCACGCCCUGAGUUCCUG